rnacentral:rRNA from 1 species
UACGUAGGGUGCGAGCGUUGUCCGGAAUUAUUGGGCGUAAAGAGCUCGUAGGCGGCCUGUUGCGUCCGCUGUGAAAACUCGAGGCUCAACCUCGAGACGCCGAUGGAAACCAUCAGACUAGAGUCCGGAAGAGGAGAGUGGAAUUCCUGGUGUAGCGGUGAAAUGCGCAGAUAUCGGGAGGAACACCGGUGGCGAAGGCGGUUCUCUGGGCAUUACCUGGACGCUGAGGAGCGAAAGUGUGGGGGAGCGAACAGG